rnacentral:tRNA from 2 species
GCAUCUUUAGCUUAAAGUGAAAGCAGACCGCCUAAACAGCCGUUAUAUGUAGGUUCGAACCCUACAAGGUGCA